rnacentral:rRNA from 1 species
UGCCAGCCGCCGCGGUAAUACGGAGGGUGCGAGCGUUGUUCGGAAUCACUGGGCGUAAAGCGCGUGUAGGCGGCUGAUUAAGUCUGGUGUGAAAGCCCGGGGCUCACCCCCGGAAGUGCGCUGGAAACUGGUCAGCUAGAGUAUGGGAGAGGGAAGCGGAAUUCCUGGUGUAGCGGUGAAAUGCGUAGAUAUCAGGAGGAACACCGGCGGCGAAGGCGGCUUCCUGGACCAAUACUGACGCUGAGACGCGAAAGCGUGGGGAGCAAACAGGAUUAGAUA